ACGGUCCGUUACCUGACUACCAUCAGUGUCAAAGGGUGGCACCCACUCAGCGGGGGAUCCUGAGCCGAACCCAUUGAUGAGAUGAAACAGGUUGACUUCUCCCUGAGUCUGAAGUGGAAUGAAAAACAAAUGUCAUGGAGGGUGACAGAGAGCGUCUGUGUCUUAUCAGCUCGGACAAUGUGAGUGAUGGUUCUUAUCUGGCCCCCUGCUCCGUGGCUGUUUAUUAUCCCAAGGUGGCAGGACGGUGCUGGGAAGAGAGGAGAACUGGGAGCCCCUUCGUGAUCCAUCACUCCGGAGGUCUCCUUCCUCCUCUUAUCUGACCGCUACAUGGAUAACUGCAGCUCUUGUUUACAAACGCCAGCUAUUUGAAUGAGUAGCAGGCGUAGGAAACGGUUCUUUGGAUUUCUUUAUCAGUCAAGGCCAUUAAAGAAUGGUGAGAUCAUGCUCAAGACACAAAUUAUGGGUGUGUUUUGGCAGGAUGAGCUCCUAGCUGAUGCCACUUCACUGCAGUCAGGAGGCAGAAUUUAGAGGAGUGGAUUUCCCAGGACGGAUGCCAGUUGGUUAACUUCUGCACUGUGGUAACUUACCUGCUAUCCCCUUUAAUUUUGUAUAUUCUUGUUGAAAAUUCACCUUCCUUGUUUUCCUCUCGUUCCAUUCGCACUGACUCCAAGUCCGUCUCCCCCGCUGCUUCCUGGAUCCAUCCUUAAGCGCUCACCUGCCUGUCUACUCAUCAACACUCCCUCUGUGCUCUUCAGCUUCCGGAUUCUGGACAGACAACAUGGUGAUUUGGUCCUGACACUGAAUACCCUAAUAAACCUGGACAGAAAUGUGCUUUUAAAAGUGUAAGAAAACAUUCCAAUGUCUGGCUGUAAGGCAGAUACUAUGUCCAAUCCAGCCUUUUGUUAAAACUAGUUCUUAGCACCUUCUCUUAGUUUUGCAAACAUACCACCAGAGGUCAUGAACUCUGGCACCUUGGAGGGCACCUUGACCAAAGAAAAACAGGGGAGGCACAUCA